GUGGGGAAUAUUGGACAAUGGGGGGAACCCUGAUCCAGCCAUGCCGCGUGUGUGAAGAAGGCCUUUUGGUUGUAAAGCACUUUAAGCGAGGAGGAGGCUACCGAGAUUAAUACUCUUGGAUAGUGGACGUUACUCGCAGAAUAAGCACCGGCUAACUCUGUGCCAGCAGCCGCGGUAAUACAGAGGGUGCAAGCGUUAAUCGGAUUUACUGGGCGUAAAGCGCGCGUAGGUGGCCAAUUAAGUCAAAUGUGAAAUCCCCGAGCUUAACUUGGGAAUUGCAUUCGAUACUGGUUGGCUAGAGUAUGGGAGAGGAUGGUAGAAUUCCAGGUGUCGCGGUGAAAUGCGUAGAGAUCUGGAGGAAUACCGAUGGCGAAGGCAGCCAUCUGGCCUAAUACUGACACUGAGGUGCGAAAGCAUGGGGAGCAAACAGGAUUAGAAACCCUUGUAGUCC
rnacentral:rRNA from 1 species